CCAUAAUUUUGAGAAAUAGUCCAAAACGUCGGUCCCAAAUGAACCAUUUGUCGGUCCCGAUAGGCAUUACGCAAAAUUAUUGUUUCCGUGAGAUUUAUUUUUUGUACAGUGUCCAAAAAUUAAUAAGUAAGGUUACAGAAUUGCUAAUUGCCAUUAUACACUGCCUGAAUCAACUUCCUUCUGUGCUCUACAGCCAGCUGAUGGCCAAACUAGAGUCUGAAAAUGCCAUUUCCGAUCAUCUAGAGACUUCAAAGUUUCAAAAUUUUUCCGCUCGGCGCCAACCAUGGUGACGCCUCGUGCAACUCCCCCUUCCAAAAUGUAAACACGUAAAAACUUUUACACUCCUCCAAAUUUUAUUGGAAUGUGCACCCCUGACCACAAAAUAUUUCAAAGUCCUCCCCCCAAAAAGCCAAAAGAAACUCAGUCUUCUUCUGAAAAACGGUAGUAGACUAUAAAGUGCUUGAAAAUAUCCCUGGGGCAUCCAUCGGCUAGCUUUGGCAGGUUUGGUCAAUUUUGGCAAAUAUUCCUUGACAAGUUCUGUUGCUCGCGUGCAUUGUUAAACAUUUAUCUAAAACCACCUUUUGUUUGCCAAUACCAGAGAAAUAUUUCCUGUACACUUGUUGUCUAGUUUUCCGAAAAAAAUUUCCUUGUCCAAAAGCAGGCACGACUAGUUAUAGAACAAUUUCCUUGGCAAGGAAAACUUGUCCAUUUUUUGCCGUACACACGAGCAAAUAAAAUUGGUCAAGGAAAAAUUGCCCGUCUGUACAGGGCUUAAGUGCUUAACAUGGCUUAAUAAAGGCUACAACCCCAGACAAUGGAUGAUUCCAGCUA